rnacentral:rRNA from 1 species
AACGAACGCUGGCGGCGCGUCUUAAGCAUGCAAGUCGAACGGCAAGAGGUAGCAAUACCUCCUAGAGUGGCGGACUGGUGAGUAACACGUGGGUGACAUACCCUUCAGAUGGGGAUAGCUAUUAGAAAUAGUAGAUAAUACCGAAUACGAGCACAGGGGUUAGAGAUCUGUGAGGAAAGGAGCUAAGGCUCCGCUGAAGGAAUGGCCUGCGGCCCAUUAGCUAGUUGGUGAGGUAAGAGCCCACCAAGGCGAUGAUGGGUAUCCGGCCUUAGAGGGUGAACGGACACAUUGGGACUGAGAUACGGCCCAGACUCCUACGGGAGGCAGCAGCUAAGAAUAUUCCGCAAUGGACGAAAGUCUGACGGAGCGACGCCGCGUGGAUGAAGAAGGCCGGAAGGUUGUAAAAUCCUUUUGAAACUGAAGAAUAAGCGUUGUAGGGAAUGACAGCGUGGUGACAGUAGGUUUUGAAUAAGCAACGGCUAAUUACGUGCCAGCAGCCGC